CAGCUGCUGCUUGUUACAGAACUGGAUACCAGCCACGGGAGACACAGCUCCAAGUACAAAGGAGCAACUGUUUGCAUUGACGAUUAUUAUUAAUUUUUUUCCCUCCAGAUUUACAAAUGAGGCAGAGGGCAUGUGUGCGUCGGAGUAACUGGUGGCAUGAGCACAUGGGACAGUGUCUUAAGAUGAGGUGCAGCGUCUCGAAUCGUCCGCAUUCCUUUUUGUGGGAAGGCGUCUUAGGUCAGUGGAUCAGCAAAGAAAACAGAAACCUAAGCCCGCCUGCCCUCAGAUGCACCGGCAAAGCCGUGCGCGACAGCGUCUGCUCGACAGCUGCGCCGCUCAGCGCUCCAGCAAACACCAGAGCGCCAAACUCUUCGACACAAGUAUGAGGACCACAAGGGACUGCCGAGAAGUGCGCUUGGGCUAAAAGGACGCACCAUUCACAGCAGCGGGCACAGCGAGGUGAGGGCCGUGAUUCAUGCUGGUUCCAGGGUGGGCUAAACAAGCUGCGAGGAGGCCAAGGUCUGAGUCACACGUCGUCUUUUUUUUUUUUUUUUUUUUUUUUUUUUUAACUGUACAAUAGAUAGGAAUUUAUUAUGGCUCCUCCCAGGGAUGACUGAAGAGCUUUAAAACGUGGAAGACCACCUGAUUAGUUUUGGGUCAUACAGCCCUCAACUGUGUCAUCUGAGGAACCUCCUCCCCAGCCGACAUACCUCACAAGAUGAGUAGCAGCUGCACGCUCUGAGUGGCAUUCCCCAGCCAGAGCCUGGAAUAUCGCAGAGUUAAUUACAGCUGUGAUUCAUUACGGCAGGGGGGGGUUGGUCGGGGGGGGGGGGGGGGAAUUUAAUGCGAGUAUGAAUGUGCGGCUAGUUCAAAGUUUAUGGAGGGAUCAAAAUGGCGUAACAAAAGGAAAUGAUGGAUGCCUUGAUUGGGGAAAUGAAACUCAGUGAACUUGCCCUAACAGCGCAAAGCUGGAAUAACCUCAUGUAAAGAGAGCCUGGGAGGAUUCUUAUUCACAGCGCCAGUUGCACUUCAUCUCUAGAUGAUGGAUUAUAACUGCAGUCAACAAAUAUUCGUACUUCAUUGGUCUGAAACAGUUGAUUGGUUCGAUUAUAUUAUAGUUAAAGUAUGUGGUCAAUUGAGUAGGCUGCAGUGCAUCGACUAGCGAAGUGUAGAUUGUAAUUGGUGGUUUUGCCUGUAUACCAGCCAAUUGCAGUUCCAUUGCUAUCUUGUAGUAUUCAUCCAUUCGCAAUUCACAUCACUUUCCGACCAUACCAGGUCACAGUGUGUAACGUGGUGGAUGAAAUAGGUUCAACUACUGUUACCGAGACAAAGGAACCAGGCAUGCAAACGAGAGAUCAAUCAAGGGUGAAUGAGAAAGAUGAGUAAAAAUUCAAUCGGUCCUUCGUGUGAGAAAAGAUGUGCUCUCAGACUGAAACAAUAAUGAACAUCCACUAGGUUUAAAGAGAUCACAGACUGACGGGUGCUACGUUGCAGGGAAUGGAACACGUUGCACCAAUAUUUCAACGUGGGGAAGAAGCUGAAUAUCUGCAGUGCAUUCUGCUCACUCAGUUUGAUGCCUUAUCAUUUUCUAUCUACCCGUCUCUUCAGUACCUGAAAGCCAGGCUUGGUUCAUAGCUAGCUUGGAAAACACGAAGAGUUUUCAUCAAAGGUUUCGUGUCCUCCUCUUUUUAAUAACUGCAGAAAGUCAGAUACUUUUGCAGAUUAUGAUACCCUUGGGCUCUUUCUAUCCAGCAAACAUAGAAAAUUGACAAGGAAAACGGUUGAGGAAUGGGAUUUUUCUGCCUUCAACUGAGGAUGUUUCAAGUCUUGGAGACUCAAAGAAAAUUCCAACAGUUGGGAGGAGCCCAAGUAAUUGGACUGUGUUCACCAUUCUUUUUUUUUUUUUAUUUUUAAUCUCACACCCACAUGGUUUGAAGGAUCUAUAAUUCAAAAAAGCGUCUCAUUUGCAAGGCCGACUUGCAUGUCUCCGCCCUCUCCUUUGCUUUGCCUUCUGCCCCCGAGGCUCUGCAAAACUGCCGUGCACUCUAUUCAGCUCCUGACCAAAAUUGCCACCUAAGUGUUUCCACUCCACUGCCCCUAUCGGGGCUGUACAGUAGCACUGUACUCAGUUGAGGGGGAGGUGCUGGAAAAGCAGCAUGUUCUCUCUCCAUAGAUUUGUUACAUACUCUUUUUUUUUUUUUUUCCCCCUUCAGUCUGGAAAUUCCAAGCACGACCCGGAGGAAGUCUGAGGAUUCAUCAUAAAUGAGUGGUCAUAACACGCAAGUACCCAGGAGAUCCAGAUUUGCACCCUGACCGUCACAAACAGAGGCGUCUUUGUUUGCAAGGCGAGCGGAUGCAAGCGGGGCAUUCUACUGCAUGACUCAGAAAAGCCUCCUUCUUCCUGCUCUGGUCUCAGAGGUGUUGAAAAGUUCCCAGAGCGCAUUCCAAAGUGUGAGAUGGACACAGGGAAUAACAGUUGAGCUAAGGAAGAAGAAUAUAGAGUUGUGCACCGUGAGAGGAUUGCGAGUGGGGGGUCAAUGAUAUCAGGAAAAGUCAAUUCCAACUCACGCUUGAUGGUACGUGUCAGACUCCCAGACACAACUGCGCUUCUUCUCCUCACAAGAAUUCUUAUGGUUAUGGUCCUGUGGUUAACAGUUUUAUGCAAACCUUAUCCACAAAACCUCAAACCAUCGCCAAACCAGAAUUAGUGGACAAUAUUUUUUUGGAGGGGACACUCAAAGGUGCAAAGGAUUUCAAAUGUGGCCAAUUUCGAGUCUCAACCAACAUGCUCUAUGAAAAUACACCAUAAAUGUCAACCAAAUCAAACGUCGGCCAGCUAACUGAAUGAGUUAUGCUUGAUUUUGGAGAUCGCACUGAACAGGCGUCCCUGGUUUACAGUCGUCGCAACCUACAACAUAGUCACCAACAGAAUGCGUUUGCACACCUUCCGAUGUGCAAUCCAACCACAAGAGUCAAGGAACCCUUGUGGUGUACUGCUUUUAAUGUGGUUUUACAUUUAUGGCCAAGAAGUGACUGUUUUAGCAACAGAGAUGUGUGUUCCGACUUAGUAGAUACAAAAUUGGGUCAUGUCUAUGUUGUAGGAACACAACUCUGUUGUAAACAAAAAAA